rnacentral:rRNA from 1 species
AGCGCAGCUAACGCGUGAAGUUGCCCGCGUGGGGAGUACGGUCGCAAGAUUAAAACUCAAAGGAAUUGACGGGGCCCCGCACAAGCGGUGGAUGAUGUGGAUUAAUUCGAUGCAACGCGAAAAACCUUACCUACCCUUGACAUGUCUGGAAAGCCGAAGAGAUUUGGCCGUGCUCGCAAGAGAACCGGAACACAGGUGCUGCAUGGCUGUCGUCAGCUCGUGUCGUGAGAUGUUGGGUUAAGUCCCGCAACGAGCGCAACCCUUGUCAUUAGUUGCUACGCAUGAGCACUCUAAUGAGACUGCCGGUGACAAACCGGAGGAAGGUGGGGAUGACGUCAAGUCCUCAUGGCCCUUAUGGGUAGGGCUUCACACGUCAUACAAUGGUCGGGACAGAGGGUCGCCAACCCGCGAGGGGGAGCCAAUCUCAGAAACCCGAUCGUAGUCCGGAUCGCAGUCUGCAACUCGACUGCGUGAAGUCGGAAUCGCUAGUAAUCGCGGAUCAGUAGGUCGCGAUCCAGGCGCUCCCGGGUGUUGUCCACACCCCCCGUCACCCCAUGGGAGUGGGUUCGCCCGAAGCAGGUAGCCUGACCAUAAGGAGGGCGCUCAACUGGUGCAGCAACUGAUACCUCGGUAACCU